UCCACCAACUGGGCCAUACGUCGAGGAGGGAGCGACCUUGGAUCUCGAUCGAAGAUGGGGCGAGAUGCCGCCGCCGAGGUCGCCGCCGCCGCCGUGCCACUGGAGAGCCGGCCAGGGAUCAUCCUCAUCGGCCCCCCUAACGCCGGCAAGCGCACUCUUCUCUCCAGAUUGCUUUCGGUAGAUAUCCCAGAAACAUGUGAUUUAUCAACAGGAGUACUCUGUCAUGGGUGGACUAUUGAUACAAAGUAUUACUCAGCUGAUCUUGCUAUAUGGACUGCCCAUCUUCAGGAAGGGUUCUCCCUUGGAGUACUACCUGCUGUUGCACAGCUGUCUGCAUUAGUGAUGGUUUUUGAUAUGAGUGAUGAGUCUUCAUUCAUUGCCCUUCAAAAUUGUGUUGCUGGCAUUGAUAUUCAGAAGUUUGAGAUAUUACUGUGUGUAGGGAACAAGGCAGACCUUGUACCUGGUCAUUAUGCUCAUGCAGAAUAUAGGAGAUUUCUGCAGAGGCAUGGAGAGUCUAGUAGUGACCCUCAUUCUGAGUUCUUAAACUAUGGAAUUGAUGAAACUGAGGGCUGUAGUUUAUUGGGAGGAGAAGAUCCAGUGUUGGAAAUACGGAAGUCAAGUUUGGAAUGGUGUUGCCAAAAUAAUGUUGAGUUCAUUGAAUCUUGUGCAUCUAAUGCUGCUUUUGAUAAAUGUUUAUCAGUUGAUGGUGAUAUGCAAGGUGUAGAGCGAUUAUAUGGAGCUCUUUCUGCCCAUAUGUGGCCUGGAAUGGUACUGAAGUCUGGAAAUCGAAUAUACAUACCAUCCAUGGUUAACAAGGAAGGUAAAUUUAAUGAGAUGACAGAUGAUGAAUCAGAUUACGAGAUCGACUAUGAGCGCUUAUCAGGUUCUGAUGAACCAGUAGAUGACACGGGUGGUCCAUCAAACUCAAUCCAGGAGCCCUCAGUGAGUAUAACAGAAGAGAAAGUAAUUGAUGUUGGAGCACAUAUCAGAAAUACUAAAGAAAUAAACGAGGGGAAGAUUGACUGCCUUGGAGAUGAAGUUGAGACAUCGUCCGUUAAAGAACCAGGUAAUGGUUCACAUGUUCUUCCAGGUAAUACCACCAUAGAGAAAAGUGUGGAAGAAGAAUCUUUCAGCCAACGUACAUUGGAGAGGGAUGCAGAUCAGGAGCAUAUCAUCGAGACAUCGGCAGGACAGGUGAAAUCAGAAGUUGAGAAUUAUGAGAUAUCACAGAAGGCUGAAAUUAACGCAGCCAACCCCUCUGCGUCAGAUGAGGAUGAUAGCCACUAUGGGCUUGAUGAUCUAGAAAAACUUAUGGGUGAGAUCAGUAAUAUUCGUGAUAACUCAAGACUGAUGCCAGAUUUCCAAAGGAGGGAAAUGGCUGCAAAUCUGGCUUUAAAAUUGGCUACUAUGUUUGGUGAUGGCAGUGAUGAAGAUAGCUAUUGAAAAAUCAGAAACAAGGCAGUGGUGAAGCUUGUCUAAGUCCCCAACUGAGAUGCCAAACUGCAGCAGGUUUUGGAUUGUAGAAUACGCUGCCCCCCAGAUACACGCAUAGCAGUUUCAGGACUUCGUGUACUUGCUGAUUCUUCCAAGUGGGCAUAAGAAUCACUUUAAAGCAGUCAAGAACUAGGCAACACCGUCCAAAGUGGCAGGUUUGCAUUUGUUUAAUUUGAUGCUUAUAUGAUGGUCUAAGGUGAUAAUCAGUCAAAAAGUUGGCAAAUUGGCUGGACUGUAUUGGAUGUCAAAAGACUAUAAAACUAGUGUAAUUCACAAGAGAAGAAAAAAAGUAAAAUAAAAUAAGGGUAGGAAUAAAAUUAUUGUAUGGAUAUUGUUCUCUGUAUUGGGUUGAGUAAAUGGAUUAAGAAUC